rnacentral:misc_RNA from 1 species
GAUGAAGAACGCAGUGAAAUGCGAUAAGUAGUGUGAAUUGCAGAAUUCAGUGAAUCAUCGAAUCUUUGAACGCACAUUGCGCCCUUUGGUAUUCCUUAGGGCAUGCCUGUUCGAGCGUCAUUUAAACCUUCAAGCUCAGCUUGGUGUUGGGUGACUGUCCGCCGCCUCCGGGCGCAUGGACUCGCCUCAAAAUUAUUGGCGGCCGGUACAUUGGCUUCGAGCGCAGCAGAAACGCGAACUCGGGCCCGUCGUAUUGGCUCCCAGAAGCUAUCUUCACAAUUUUGACCUCGGAUCAGGUAGGGAUACCCGCUGAACUUAAGCAUAUCAAUAAGCGGAGGA